rnacentral:rRNA from 1 species
GACGAACCGUGCGAACGUUGUUCGGAAUCACUGGGCUUAAAGGGCGCGUAGGCGGCUUGCCAAGUCAGGGGUGAAAUCCUGCAGCUUAACUGUAGAAGGGCCUUUGAUACUGGCGAGCUCGAGGGAGGUAGGGGUAUGUGGAACUUCCGGUGGAGCGGUGAAAUGCGUUGAUAUCGGAAGGAACGCCGGUGGCGAAAGCGACGUACUGGACCUCUUCUGACGCUGAGGCGCGAAAGCUAGGGGAGCGAACAGG